rnacentral:tRNA from 1 species
GCCUGGCAAGCUCAGUCUGUAGAGCACCAGACUUUUAAUCUGAGGAUCCAGGGUACAAGUCCCUGCUCAAGUA